GUCAAAACCGCCGUUUAGUGAAUCCUCCCCUCUCGCAAUAAUGCAAGCUCCAUUCGUAUAGACUCCAAUCGUACGAACUGCAAGCAGGGGAAUGCGCCAACCUCCCGAACGGGACCUGUAUGGAUACUCCAGCUCUCGAGCGGUAAACCCACGAAUCGCUGCUGACAGCCAAAUCAAUAUACCAUCCAAGCGGCUUACAGUUCCAGCAAUCAGUCGCUAUCCGUGUGUAGUAAAUCCCCCCAAUAACGAGACCAAGCUCCGCAUUGAGGGUAAAACAAGAACUGGGUUUACUGUGGGCUACCCGCCCGUAUUUAUGCAGGUCUCCCACUUGGUGAACACUCCCCUAGGGGACCAAAUGGGAGACUGUAAUGGCAGACAGACAUUUAGCAUGUUAGGACACACAGGCACAUAAUAUUCCCAGCAUGCAUCAUGGUUUCCUCCCCUUUGCCCUGGAGAUAAUUGAGAAGUAAUUCAAUUAUCUCCCAGGACAGAGGCAAAUCGCCAUUUUAGAUGGAACAUAAAAACCACAUAAAAAUACAUAAUUAUACAACUACCGAAUAUAUUCCAUUCGUGCAACGUAUACCCAGAUAGCGCUCAGAUCCC